GCCGACGUGGUGAAAACGGUAGACACGCCAUCUUGAUGUUGUGGUGGCGCAUGCUGUAUGAGUUCGAGUCUCAUCGUCGGCA
rnacentral:tRNA from 1 species